UCGGGAAUUUUGGGCAAUGGGCGAAAGCCUGACCCAGCAACGCCGCGUGAGGGAUGAAGUAUUUCGGUAUGUAAACCUCGAAAGAAUGGGAAGAAUAAAUGACGGUACCAUUUAUAAGCUCCGGCUAACUACGUGCCAGCAGCCGCGGUAAUACGUAGGGAGCAAGCGUUGUUCGGAUUUACUGGGCGUAAAGGGCGCGUAGGCGGCGCGGUAAGUCACUUGUGAAAUCUCUGAGCUUAACUCAGAACGGCCAAGUGAUACUGCUGUGCUUGAGUGCGGAAGAGGCAACCGGAAUUCUUGGUGUAGCGGUGAAAUGCGUAGAUAUCAAGAGGAACGCCUGAGGCGAAGGCGGGUUGCUGGGCCGACACUGACGCUGAUGCGCGAAAGCCAGGGGAGCAAAC
rnacentral:rRNA from 1 species